UACGUAGGGUGCGAGCGUUAAUCGGAAUUACUGGGCGUAAAGCGUGCGCAGGCGGCGCGUUAAGUCAGGGGUGAAAUCCCGGAGCUCAACUCCGGAACUGCCUUUGAUACUGGAGAUCUUGAGUCCGGGAGAGGUGAGUGGAACUGCGAGUGUAGAGGUGAAAUUCGUAGAUAUUCGCAAGAACACCAGUGGCGAAGGCGGCUCACUGGCCCGGUACUGACGCUGAGGUGCGAAAGCGUGGGGAGCAAACAGG
rnacentral:rRNA from 1 species